rnacentral:rRNA from 1 species
AACGAACGCUGGCGGCAUGCCUAACACAUGCAAGUCGAACGAGACCUUCGGGUCUAGUGGCGCACGGGUGCGUAACGCGUGGGAACCUGCCCUUAGGUUCGGAAUAACUCCCCGAAAGGGGUGCUAAUACCGGAUAAUGUCUUCGGACCAAAGAUUUAUCGCCUUUGGAUGGGCCCGCGUUGGAUUAGCUAGUUGGUAGGGUAAAAGCCUACCAAGGCGACGAUCCAUAGCUGGUCUGAGAGGAGGGUCAGCCACACUGGGACUGAGACACGGCCCAGACUCCUACGGGAGGCAGCAGUGGGGAAUGUUGGACAGUGGGCGAAAGCCUGAUCCAGCAAUGCCGCGUGAGUGAUGAAGGCCUUAGGGUUGUAAAGCUCUUUUAACCGGGAUGAUAAUGACAGUACCGGGAGAAUAAGCUCCGGCUAACUCCGUG